GGGGAAUAUUGGACAAUGGGCGAAAGCCUGAUCCAGCCAUGCCGCGUGUGUGAAGAAGGUCUUCGGAUUGUAAAGCACUUUAAGUUGGGAGGAAGGGUUGUAGAUUAAUACUCUGCAAUUUUGACGUUACCGACAGAAUAAGCACCGGCUAACUCUGUGCCAGCAGCCGCGGUAAUACAGAGGGUGCAAGCGUUAAUCGGAAUUACUGGGCGUAAAGCGCGCGUAGGUGGUUUGUUAAGUUGGAUGUGAAAUCCCCGGGCUCAACCUGGGAACUGCAUUAAAACCUGACUGACUAGAGUAUGGUAGAGGGUGGUGGAAUUACCUGUGUAGGUGUGAGAUGCGUAGAUAUAGGAAGGAACACCAGUGGCGACGGCGUCCACCUGGACUAGUACUGACACUGGGGUGCGAAAGCGUGGGGUGGAAGCU
rnacentral:rRNA from 1 species